rnacentral:lncRNA from 1 species
UGAUAUAAUCAAUAUAUAUACAAUAAAUAUGUACUAUGUAAGUGUAAAUGGAAUGAUAUAUGUAUAACUAAAAAUAUACAUAUUUGUGAAUGUUCGGUUUGGAUUGGAUUGGUUCGGUUUUGGAAAUCAAAUCCGAAAUCCGAUCCGAUCCAAUAAAUAAUUUCGGUUUUUUCAAUUUUCAGUCCGUUCGGUUUUCGGUUUGAUUGGAUUUCAGUUUUUUUGGAUCGGUCUGUCGGUUUUGUUUGGAUUGGUUCAGUUAUGAAC